rnacentral:lncRNA from 1 species
GGAAGGGUCAGACCUUGGGACGAUGUGUGAGCAGCGCACCCGAGGAGGAGGUGCGGCGCACAUGGGGGCAUUAGGGUUUCGGUUGGCUGAAAUUUUUUUAAGUUUUGUGGGUUGUUGGGCCUUAGGGUUUUUUAUUUUUAUUUUUGGGCUUGUAAUUUAUUUUUUGGACUGUUUAAUUAUUUUGGAAUUUGGGUUGUUUUUUGGUUUGGGCACGGACAAAAAUGGCCUAUUACACCAUGUAAUUCACGUAAAUACCUGUUCCAGUUCGUAUCAAACCCAUAUAUCCUCA